GACGAACGCUGGCGGCGUGCUUAACACAUGCAAGUCGAACGGAAAGGCCCUGCUUUUGUGGGGUGCUCGAGUGGCGAACGGGUGAGUAACACGUGAGUAACCUGCCCUUGACUUUGGGAUAACUUCAGGAAACUGGGGCUAAUACCGGAUAGGAGCUCCUGCUGCAUGGUGGGGGUUGGAAAGUUUCGGCGGUUGGGGAUGGACUCGCGGCUUAUCGGCUUGUUGGUGGGGUAGUGGCUUACCAAGGCUUUGACGGGUAGCCGGCCUGAGAGGGUGACCGGCCACAUUGGGACUGAGGUACGGCCCAGACUGCUACGGGAGGCAGCAGUGGGGAAUAUUGCACAAUGGGCGGAAGCCUGAUGCAGCAACGCCGCGUGCGGGAUGACGGCCUUCGGGUUGUAAACCGCUUUCGCCUGUGACGAAGCGUGAGUGACGGUAAUGGGUAAAGAAGCACCGGCUAACUACGUG
rnacentral:rRNA from 1 species